UACGUAGGGGGCAAGCGUUGUCCGGAAUCAUUGGGCGUAAAGAGCGUGUAGGCGGCCCGAUAAGUCCGCCGUGAAAGUCCAGGGCUCAACCCUGGAAUGCCGGUGGAAACUGUCGGGCUGGAGUCCGGAAGAGGCGAGUGGAAUUCCUGGUGUAGCGGUGAAAUGCGCAGAUAUCAGGAGGAACACCGGUGGCGAAGGCGGCACUCUGGGCCGGUACUGACGCUGAGGAGCGAAAGCAUGGGGAGCGAACAGG
rnacentral:rRNA from 1 species